GAUGAACGCUAGCGGCAGGCCUAACACAUGCAAGUCGAGGGGUAGAAGGAGCUUGCUCCUUUGAGACCGGCGCACGGGUGCGUAACGCGUAUGCAAUCUACCUUGUACAGGGGAAUAGCCCAGAGAAAUUUGGAUUAAUGCCCCAUAGUAUAUAACCUUCGCAUGUUGGUUAUAUUAAAGUUCCAACGGUACAAGAUGAGCAUGCGUCCCAUUAGUUAGUUGGUAAGGUAACGGCUUACCAAGACGAUGAUGGGUAGGGGUCCUGAGAGGGAGGUCCCCCACACUGGGACUGAGACACGGACCAGACUCCUACGGGCGGCAGCAGUGAGGAAUAUUGGUCAAGGGUCGCAAGACUGAACCAGCCAUGCCGCGUGCAGGAAGACGGUCCUAUGGAUUGUAACCUGCUUUUAGACAGGAAGAAACCCUCCCACGUGUGGGAGCUUGACGGUACUGGAGGAAUAAGGAUCGGCUAACUCCGUG
rnacentral:rRNA from 1 species